AGGACUAACGCUGGCGGCGUGCCUAACACAUGCAAGUCGAACGGGGUAGCAAUACCCAGUGGCAGACGGGUGAGUAACACGUGGUCAACCUACCUCUGUGUGGGGGAUAACUAGCCGAAAGGUUAGCUAAUACCGCAUACGAUCGUUUUGAGGCAUCUCGAGACGAUGAAAGGAGCAAUCCGCACGGAGAGGGGACUGCGUCCCAUUAGUUAGUUGGUGGGGUAACGGCCUACCAAGACUCCGAUGGGUAGCUGGCUUGAGAGAGCGACCAGCCACACUGGAACUGAGAAACGGUCCAGACUCCUACGGGAGGCAGCAGUGAGGAAUUUUCCGCAAUGGGCGAAAGCCUGACGGAGCGACGCCGCGUGUGGGAUGAAGGCCUUCGGGUCGUAAACCACGUGUCGAAGGGGACGAUAAUGACGGUACCCUUGGAGGAAGCCCCGGCUAACUACGUGCCAGCAGCCGC
rnacentral:rRNA from 1 species